GUGUUAUAAAGCAGCAGUCUACUUGGAACAGCAGGAAUCUUAUUUUUCCGACACGACGUGAAGGCGCUAUAACUGCCCGGAUGCGUUACCAAGAUGGCUGCUUGAUGGACUUGAGUUUUUGCAAAAUCAAAUAUAAUUGUUGAAUGAGCAUUAGUUAGUACACCUUGACAUCUUGGAUACAAUAACAAGUUAGCAUGCCACGUUUGUGUGCUUUCUGCGGCUGUAAUAAUCGAGUGGGCUGUGGGCUUUCGUUUUUCGCAUUCCCAAAGGACAGUACAAGGUAACUUAGUCACAAAAUCACAUUGUUUUAAAUGACGCAGAAUGACGUGUUUUCGUAUAAAGACCAGUCAUUAAAGACUUACAUAAGCGGGGAUACGUAAGGUUUCUUACUCUGUGGUAUUUAAACACAUCAGCUCAGUCCCGUUAGGUGAUUCAGCCUUAAAGCAACCUCGCCACUCGGCAGCCAUCUUGGUAACGUCUGCAGGUACUUACGUAGCAUUUUAAUUUAGCUUUCGUUUAUAAUGUUCACGGAGGGCGAAAAACUCCACGCACAGAGUCACCAGUCAAGGGUUAUAAAAGCGCUUUACGGGGUUACUGACCUUUAAAAAAAGAGACAUCCAAAUUCGUUUUUCUUUAGAAAAUGCGUUACCAAGGUGACUGUCACAUAGCAAUACUUUGGUUUUGAAGUUUAAAUCACUUCUGAUUUUACUUAAUGACGUCAGGCAGUAAUAUGGCAUAAGUAAUGUACGAACAGCUGUUUCUUAAACACGUGUAAAGCGAAACAUGCAGAAGAACUCUGAAAAGCUGAUGCUGAUUUGUGUUUGAAGCAAUGUGAAUAAUUAAUACAGGAGGCGGAAAUGGCUUCUUAAUUUGAUGAGGGCAGACUUACCCCCCGACAGGACGAGAGAAGAGUCCGACAGAGCUGGGUAUGUGGUCUGCGAACAGCAUUUCAGGCCAAACGACAUAAACUCAAAGGGUAGAAGAAAACGUCUGGCUCCUGAAGCCAUCCCCAUUCUUCUGCACACUAUAAAGGAGGAACAGAGAGAUUUGGAGAUGCUUCCCACUGAUGUUCCUGCUCCAGUGCCUCUGCGAGACACACCCCCAUAUGAACAGGUCAUGGCAAUGUUUAACAAGCUGCUGGCAGAGAAGGAUGAGAAAAUCAAGGAUCUGAAAAGCAUUCUGCAGAGAGAGAGGGCCAGAAUGCGGCUGAUGAAGUUCCGUAUGAACAGCAAAAUCAGAGAACUGAAAAGAAAACUUGAACAGCAGCAGAACACUAGCGGUGACCAAGGCGAUCAGCUGACUGCUGCCUCCGACUGCCUUCCACAGGCAGCAAAGGAGUUUUUUGACAAGCAAAUAGCCAUGGCCAGGGUGAGGAAACACGGCCAGAGAUACGACAAGAAACAAAAGGACAUGGCAAUCCAGCUGUACAAACAGAGCCCAAGCUGUUACUCUGAACUCCAAAAAAUGUUUCAGUUACCGUCUUCAACCACUCUGAGGAGGCACCAGGUGGUCAGUCAGGAAGCGAGUCCAGACACAGCGGGUGACCCAGAGAGAGGUGAGGAGGAGAAACUUGCUGAUGUAGCUGGAUGGGUGGUGCAGAAAGUGGCUCAAGAUCCAGAAAUGGAGAAGGAUGCCGUCUCAGCUGUGAAGAAAAGCCCAACCUCUGCCAGGCUGCUUCAUCCAUCCGAAGCUUUCAAAGAAUGCAUUUCCAAAUGUGACGGUGUCAUCCAAAAAAUCCCCCCAAAUGCAAUGGCCCCGAAGAAAUUAAAGGCCUCCCUCAGAGCCAGCGGUGCUUUCAGUGAGCUCCACCGCAUCCAUCCUGCCCACUCAAAGGCCAUCGAGAGGGUUGCCUUGAAUAAAUAUGUAAUGUGCAGGGUGGUGGCCGAGCUGAAAGAAACAGCACAAAACAGAAAACGCACACAUGAGAAAAAAAGUGCUGCGUGUCAAGAGCUAAAUGUUAGCACCCAUGAAGUAAAUCAGGACUAAAUAAAUAUCAGAUGAUGUUAAUUUGAUAAUAAAUUAUUUUAGGCCAUUCUAACUUGUCUGUGUUGUUUCAAGCUUUCCUGCACUUGACCUAGAUGGAUUUAGUUUUUCAAUUUCAGUUCAAUUUUGUAUAGCGCCAUGCCUCAAGGCACUUAUUGUAAGCUAAAGACGCUACAAUAAUACAAAGAAAACCCCAACAAUCAGCCGUUUCAGUCUCCAUCGCUGUAUUUUAGCUGUCCGGUGCGUGUAAGUGUGUGUGUGAAGAAUCUCUAGCCAGAGAAAACAUGAUAUAAAUAAUUUAAAUCAGUGGAACUUUUGGUUGCUUCCUCCUUAUUUUACCACAACACACAGAUCCAUGUAUAAUUUGACACUGAUUUUCCAUUGGAUGCUAUUCCCGACACAACCCUCCCAUAAACCCAAGCUUGGG
ensembl:lncRNA